UUGAAGUUUAGGGUUUAGGGUUUAGGGUUUAGAGUUGAUGUUUUAGGGUUUAGAGUUGAAGGUUUAUGGUUUAGGGUUUAGAGUUGAUGUUUCGGAGUUUAAGGUUUAGAGUUGAUGUUUCAGGGUUUAGGGUUCAUAUUUCAAAAAAAAAUAGGGUUUAGGAUUGAUGGUUUAGGGUUUAGGGUUCGUAUUUCAAAAAAAAAAGAGUUUAGGAUUGAUGGUUUAGGGUUUAGAGUUGAGUUUU
rnacentral:lncRNA from 1 species